AUCGCGUCAGGCUAUUGCUAAUCAUUCGCUUAGUACGCUGUGUGCUCCUUUCGUAUUAUUCAUCACCCCGUGAAAGAACAACGCUAUGACGAUGCACAGAACGCGUCACGCUACGAAAGAAAAACAUUGAAACAUUUCAAGUAACAGAUACGAACCUCGUUAUACCGAAUUUGGUAACGACCACCUCGAAGUAGUACAACGCUACUUUCGUUUGCACUUGACACUUCGUCCACCGCCAAAGUCGUUGCUCAAAGAAUCUUCUAACGGAGAAAUCCAUGUGCGGAUCCUCGACUCGCCAUCCCGCAACGGAAUGCUCCUACCGAUCGCUACUGUCCCCGCUGAUUCAAGCGCCGAUGCGCAGAGAUCGAUGGACUCCGACGAGGCCUCUUUCGAACCGAGCCGCUGCUUCGGAUUCCAGAAGCCCUAGGGCCACGCAUGUCCUCUACGAGAACCGCCUCCUACGGUCACAAUCUCGUUUUCGUAAAUCACACUCGUCGGAGAAGAAAUCGAUUAUAGCGCCGUACUUACUAAUCGUGAAACACUGUAAUUGGAUUUACACAAGAGCCAAUAUAAAUAAUUAAAAAUAAAGAUAUAUACUAUAUAA